rnacentral:rRNA from 1 species
AGGGCUCCAACGGUGGUUCAACGCUGGAUCCCUCCACCACCUGGCCAUUGCAAGAUCAAAGUGGAUGGGGCUACAACCAAAUCAGCAAGGCGCGGAUCAGUUGGUGUCAUCUGUCGAGCCAUUGAUGGCUCGUUCAUGGGAGCUUCAGCCAUAUGUUUUGAGGGUGUUUAUGACCCGGCGUCUCUUGAAGCCCUAGCUUGCAGGGAGGCUUUGGCUUUAGCGUCCGAUCUAGUGCAAACACAGGUGGUGGUCGCAUCGGAUUGCAAGGAAGUGGUCUCUAAUAUUUCCGAAGGCAAUGAGGAAAACAUGCACACAUUAUCUAGGAGAUCAAGCAAAUGGAGUCUGAUUUUCAAUCUUGUUCUUUUAUUUUUGAACGUAGAACCACAAAUAUCAAGGCACAUAGCCUCGCUAAAUACACGCUUAGUCUGUCUAUUGGUCGCCAUGUUUGGCUGCUUGAACCUCCAAACUUGA